GACGAACGCUGGCGGCGCGCCUAACACAUGCAAGUCGAGCGAGAACCGGGACUUCGGUCCCGGGGACAGCGGCGAACGGGUGAGUAACACGUGGAUAACCUGCCCUCGGCACCGGAAUAGCCCGGGGGAGACCCGGAUUAAUGCCGGGUAGCCCCACAUCCCUGCGGGGAACGUGGGAAAAGGUAGCUUCGGCCUCUGGCCGAGGAUGGGUCCGCGGUGGAUUAGCUUGUUGGUGCGGGUAAUGGCCCACCAAGGCGACGAUCCAUAGCUGGUCUGAGAGGACGAUCAGCCACACUGGGACUGAGACACGGCCCAGACUCCUACGGGAGGCAGCAGUGGGGAAUCUUGCGCAAUGGGCGAAAGCCUGACGCAGCGACGCCGCGUGCGGGAAGAA
rnacentral:rRNA from 1 species